AGUGAACGCCGGCGGUAGGCCUAACACAUGCAAGUCGAACGGCAGCACAGUAAGAGCUUGCUCUUACGGGUGGCGAGUGGCGGACGGGUGAGGAAUACAUCGGAAUCUACUUUUUCGUGGGGGAUAACGUAGGGAAACUUACGCUAAUACCGCAUAAGACCUACGGGUGAAAGCAGGGGAUCUUCGGACCUUGCGCGAUUGAAUGAGCCGAUGUCGGAUUAGCUAGUUGGCGGGGUAAAGGCCCACCAAGGCGACGAUCCGUAGCUGGUCUGAGAGGAUGAUCAGCCACACUGGAACUGAGACACGGUCCAGACUCCUACGGGAGGCAGCAGUGGGGAAUAUUGGACAAUGGGCGCAAGCCUGAUCCAGCCAUACCGCGUGGGUGAAGAAGGCCUUCGGGUUGUAAAGCCCUUUUGUUGGGAAAGAAAAGCAGCAGGUUAAUACCCCGCUGUUCUGACGGUACCCAAAGAAUAAGCACCGGCUAACUUCGUG
rnacentral:rRNA from 1 species